AUUGAACGCUGGCGGCAGGCCUAACACAUGCAAGUCGAACGGUAGCACAGAGGAGCUUGCUCCUUGGGUGACGAGUGGCGGACGGGUGAGUAAUGUCUGGGAAACUGCCCGAUGGAGGGGGAUAACUACUGGAAACGGUAGCUAAUACCGCAUAACGUCGCAAGACCAAAGAGGGGGACCUUCGGGCCUCUUGCCAUCGGAUGUGCCCAGAUGGGAUUAGCUAGUAGGUGGGGUAACGGCUCACCUAGGCGACGAUCCCUAGCUGGUCUGAGAGGAUGACCAGCCACACUGGAACUGAGACACGGUCCAGACUCCUACGGGAGGCAGCAGUGGGGAAUAUUGCACAAUGGGCGCAAGCCUGAUGCAGCCAUGCCGCGUGUAUGAAGAAGGCCUUCGGGUUGUAAAGUACUUUCAGCGAGGAGGAAGGCGUUGUGGUUAAUAACCGCAACGAUUGACGUUACUCGCAGAAGAAGCACCGGCUAACUCCGUGCCAGCCGCCGCGGUAA
rnacentral:rRNA from 1 species